rnacentral:rRNA from 1 species
AACAGGAUUAGAUACCCUGGUAGUCCACGCUGUAAACGAUGUCGACUUGGAGGUUGUGCCCUUGAGGCGUGGCUUCCGGAGCUAACGCGUUAAGUCGACCGCCUGGGGAGUACGGCCGCAAGGUUAAAACUCAAAUGAAUUGACGGGGGCCCGCACAAGCGGUGGAGCAUGUGGUUUAAUUCGAUGCAACGCGAAGAACCUUACCUACUCUUGACAUCCAGAGAAUUUGCUAGAGAUAGCUUAGUGCCUUCGGGAACUCUGAGACAGGUGCUGCAUGGCUGUCGUCAGCUCGUGUUGUGAAAUGUUGGGUUAAGUCCCGCAACGAGCGCAACCCUUAUCCUUUGUUGCCAGCACGUAAUGGUGGGAACUCAAAGGAGACUGCCGGUGAUAAACCGGAGGAAGGUGGGGAUGACGUCAAGUCAUCAUGGCCCUUACGAGUAGGGCUACACACGUGCUACAAUGGCAUAUACAAAGAGAAGCGAACUCGCGAGAGCAAGCGGACCUCAUAAAGUAUGUCGUAGUCCGGAUCGGAGUCUGCAACUCGACUCCAUGAAGUCGGAAUCGCUAGUAAUCGUAGAUCAGAAUGCUACGGUGAAUACGUUCCCGGGCCUUGUACACACCGCCCGUCACACCAUGGGAGUGGGUUGCAAAAGAAGUAGGUAGCUUAACCUUCGGGAGGGCGCUUACCACUUUGUGAUUCAUGACUGGGGUGAAGUCGUAACAAGGUAACC